UACAGGGGGGGCAAGCGUUGUUCGGAAUUACUGGGCGUAAAGGGUUCGUAGGUGGCUUACUAAGUCAGACGUGAAAUCCCUCAGCUUAACUGGGGAACUGCGUCUGAUACUGGAUGGCUUGAGAUUGGGAGAGGGAUGCGGAAUUCCAGGUGUAGCGGUGAAAUGCGUAGAUAUCUGGAGGAACACCGGUGGCGAAGGCGGCAUCCUGGACCGACACUGACACUGAGGAGCGAAAGCCAGGGGAGCAAACGGG
rnacentral:rRNA from 1 species